rnacentral:rRNA from 1 species
AUUGAACGCUGGCGGCAUGCCUUACACAUGCAAGUCGAACGGUAACAGGUCUUCGGAUGCUGACGAGUGGCGAACGGGUGAGUAAUACAUCGGAACGUGCCUAGUAGUGGGGGAUAACUACUCGAAAGAGUGGCUAAUACCGCAUGAGAUCUACGGAUGAGAGCAGGGGAUCGCAAGACCUUGUGCUACUAGAGCGGCCGAUGGCAGGUUAGGUAGUUGGUGGGAUAAAAGCUUACCAAGCCGACGAUCUGUAGCUGGUCUGAGAGGACGAUCAGCCACACUGGGACUGAGACACGGCCCAGGCUACUACGGGAGGCAGCAGUUGGGAAUUUUGGACAAUGGGCGAAAGCCUGAUCCAGCAAUGCCGCGUGCAGGAUGAAGGCCUUCGGGUUGUAAACUGCUUUUGUACGGAACGAAAAGCCCUGGGUUAAUACCCUGGGGUCAUGACGGUACCGUAAGAAUAAGCACCGGCUAACUACGUGCCAGCCGCCGCAGUAA